rnacentral:rRNA from 1 species
AUCGGGAGGAACACCUGUAGCGAAGCGUUUCUCUGGGCCAACACUGACGCUGAGGAGCGAAAGCGUGGGGAGCAAACAGGAUUAGAGACCCCUGGUAGUCCACGCUGUAAACGUUGGGCACUAGGUGUGGCGACCCGAUCAACGGUUCCGUGCCGAAGCUAACGCAUUAAGUGCCCCGCCUGGGGAGUACGGCCGCAAGGCUAAAACUCAAAGGAAUUGACGGGUCCCCGCACAAGCGGCGGAGCAUGCGGCUUAAUUCGAUGCAACCCGAAGAACCUUACCUGGGUUUGACAUUAUGGGAAAGGCCGUAGAGAUACGGUGUCCGCAAGGGCCCAUAACAGGUGGUGCAUGGCUGUCGUCAGCUCGUGUCGUGAGAUGUUGGGUUAAGUCCCGCAACGAGCGCAACCCUUGUCCUAUGUUGCCAGCGGAUUAUGCCGGGGACUCAUAGGAGACUGCCGGGGAUAACUCGGAGGAAGGUGGGGACGAGGUCAAGUCAUCAUGCCCCUUAUGCCCAGGGCUGCACGCAUGCUACAAUGGUCGGUACAACGGGCUGCGAUCCCGCGAGGGUGAGCGAAUCCCUAAAGGCCGACCUCAGUUCAGAUUGGAGUCUGCAACUCGACUCCAUGAAGCCGGAGUCGCUAGUAAUCGCGGAUCAGCUAAGCCGCGGUGAAUGCGUUCUCGGGGAUUGUACACACCGCCCGUCAAGUCACGAAAGCUGGCAACACCCGAAGUCAGUGGCCCAACCGCAAGGAGGGAGCUGCCUAAGGUGGGGUUGGUAAUUGGGACUAAGUCGUAACAAGGUAGC